AGACUGGACACUCUCAGGGCGGAGCCUGCUGGAGAGCGAUGGUUGACCCCAGGUCUGAGGAAGUUCCUGGUUCCCUGAUCCUGCUCAUGCUCCUCGGUUUCGUGAUCUCUGCCUUUGCCCUCGUCGGAUUCCUCCUGUCAUCUGCUUACCCAGUACCGACUCCUGCUUCACUUCCUGGUUUUUCGGCUCUUGGAUUUUCCCUCAUCUGCGCGACGCUUCAUCGGAUUACACGGCUCUCGACUCCUGCUCAGUUUACGGACCCACGACUCAAACCUGCUCCACUAAGUCUGGUAAUUCUUUUGAUUCUGAUUCUCGCUUAUCCCUGGACCCAGUUCUUGUCUGUUAGACUCAAACCCCAACAAUUCUGAAUGGUGACAACAUCACACGGGCUCGGACCCUUUCAACUCAAAUCAGUGAUUGUGUAUGGAACACCCACGCGAACACCAGGUCAGUGGCUUUAUAUUUUCUCUCAGUCAAAGUUCACAGUGACUCUGUUAAUAGUUUUUCGUGUGUCCAGAAGUUCCAGUCCAACUCGAUGUCCUGAUCCAGAACCACACCAAAGCCUUGCACAUCAACAAUAAAAUCUGUAAAACUGUUUUUUGAGUUUGGCAUUAAUUCAGAGUUCAAAGACCGGUUCAUUUCAGAAAAUCUGGCCAUAAAAAUGAACUCUGAGCCAAACUCAACAUGGCAGGCUGGUGUUGAAGGUACUUUAAGUAAAUUGGAAAAUAAAAUAGAUAAUAUUUUUGAGACACUUAGAAGCAUGAGCACAAAACCUCUGGCAUCUGCUUCUGAUCAAUUAUUUGCACCUCCACCUAGAGUUACUUUACCUAAUCCAAGAUCCGAACCUAGACUGUGCCCUCCAGAGCCAUUUAAUGGGGACCCUGAUCAAUGUCGUGCAUUUCUGACUCAAUGUGAAAUUCACUUUCUGCUACAGCUGUCAUCUUUUCCAUCAGAUCGAGCAAAAGUAGCCCAUGUGACAUCCCUACUUUCCGGUAAGCCAAGGCUAUGGGGAACGGCUGAAUUACAACGAGAUUCACUUAUUUGCCACAAAUAAAAUCACUUUGCUAAAGAACUACAGAGAGUCUUCAGCCCAGUUUUACCCCACAAGGAGGCAACCAGAGGACUUCUGGGACCAAAACAACGUACAAAAAGAGUCACAGAAUUCAUAAUUGAUUUCCAUACUUUAGCUGUUGAUUGCAGAUGGAAUGAGGAAGCUCUUCAAUAUGUAUUUUUUCAAGCCUUAAAUGACAAAAUAAAAGAUGAGUUGGCAACACAAGAUCCUCCACAGUCCCUCAGAGAGUUAGAGGACCUUGCCACACGGAUCAAUCUGAGGUUGCAUGAGCGAAGACGAGCUAAGAGGUAACUCCAGAACUUUUAAUGAAUCAACUUUUUUCAAGUCCCAGCUCCCCUUCAGUCCAGUGGAUCAUCUCUCUCUCCAGUUCCCACUACAAGUAGUGAGGAGCCAAUGCAGAUUGGCAGAUCUAAACUGUCUAAGGAGGAGAAACUGUGCAGACAAAAGGAUGGCUUGUGCUUUUAUUGUGGUGAGUCAGGCCACAUUGCUGCUUCAUGUCCUAAUAAGAGUAAUAAAUUUCCAAGAAUCAAGAGCCAUGUCUUAAGCCCCGCAUCGGUUAGUCACUCACUGCUCCAACUUCCUGCCGAAUUAUCUGUGGCUGGUAAGAUGCUGUCUGUUAAAGCAUUUGUAGAUUCAGGAGCUGAUUCAGAAUUUAUUGAUCAUGAUUUUGCUCUCACUCUGGGAAUACAGAUCAUCCCAUCCAAGAGGAAUCACCAAGUCCUUGCCCUGGACGGUCAUCAUCUCAACAGCACCAGUUCUGAAACUGUUCCAGUUAAAAUGGUUAUUGGAGUCCUUGUCCCCUGCAGAAAAGAAUUAUGAUGUCGGCGACCGGGAGUUAUUGGCAGUCAAAUUGGCCCUCGAGGAGUGGAGGCACUGGUUGGAGGGGGCCAAACACCCUUUCAUCAUUCUCACUGACCAUAAGAACCUUGAGUACUUGAAGACCGCCAAGAGACUCAACUCUCGACAAGCCAGGUGGGCUCUGUUCUUUUGCAGAUUUAAUUUUGCCCUUUCUUACAGACCCCGGACUAAGAAUAUCAAGCCUGAUGCUCUCUCCCGAGUUCAUGAGUCUGACCAGACCAGUGGCAACCAGGGAGGGUUAAUUCUGCCGGACUCCGUUCACAUUGCCAUUACUUAAGUCGAGAGGAUGGUCAGGGAGGCCCACCAGAACCAUCCCCCAAAAAGUGAUUGCCCGGAUGAUUCCUGUCAGCUCACCAUCGACACAAACACAGUGAACCGAUUCCUCCACCUGUCUAACAACAGGAAGGUGACAUGGCAGGGGGCGGAGCUUCAAUAUCCUGAACAUCCAGACAGAUUUGAUCGUCCUCAGCUGCUGUGUAGAACUGGUCUGACUGGUCGCUGUUACUGGGAGGUCCAGUGGAGAGGAAGAGUUUACAUAUCAGUGAGUUACAGAGGAAUCAAGAGGACAGGAGACUUUAAUGACUGUGUGUUUGGAUUCAAUGAUCAGUCCUGGAGUCUGAGAUGCUCUGAUGAUUAUGGUUACUAUGUCAGUCACAAUAACAGAAGAACAUUCAUCUCCUCCUCCUCCUCUGACUUGGUAGCAGUGUAUGUGGACUGUCCUGCUGGUAUUCUGUCCUURUACAGAGUCUCCUCUGACUCUCUGAUCCACCUCCACACCUUCAACACCACAUUCACUCAAACUCUACAUCCUGGAUUUACAGUCUGGUCUGGUUCAGUGUCUCUGUGUUAGUUUAGUUUGUCUUCAGUGUCUCCGUGUUAGUGUUAUGGCCCAUUGAAACACAGAAGGGUCAUAACACAUUUCAAGAGGACACAAAGACAGAAUUCAGGAAUAAAACUUUUAUUAAUUAUUUUGCCUGAUCCUCCAACAAAAUCUUAGCUGAGGAGAAAAAAGGAACAAAAUCUUUCCUGAAAAAAAAGAGGAAAAUUAAAACCCAUUUAAUCCCACCGGCCACAAUUGUUGCCGGACUUUUUGUUUUACCUCUGGAAGCUCUCAAGGUGUUAUUUUGGCUUUGGACAGCAAAUUAAUAUUUUGUAACAAAAUAAUAGGCUGUCUACUUUUAGUUUUACCAAUUACAUGUAGUUAGUGAGAAUGGUCACAUAACCACACCCCUUGACUUCCUGCCUGCCCUGCUCGAUGGAAAUGUCUACCUCAAACUGGUACAAAAGGGAGUGAAUAAAAUGUCUUAACACACAGAAUUGAAAUAUUUUGUACAUACAUUCUUUAAAGAGUCUUCUGCUGAGAUAUAUUGAGAAUUUUAUGCUUGCAUGCAUCUUUUGAUCAUGAUAAGAGUGAAUGUAAGCACAGCAACAAUUGUUGCCGCUAGUACACAUAGACAGAGCUAUGCUAGCUGUCAAAAGUUUGACUGUUUAUUCUAUUUAUCUUAUGGGGAGGUUCUACUCAGAUUAAAACCAUCAGAUGUUUUAAAUCUUUUAGACCUGAAAGAACUCCAAAAAUGAUGUGCGUUACAUCAGGGGGUCCUAAACUUUUCCAUGCUAUAGUCUCACAAACAGCAUAAGCAUUUGGCCGGGGACCCCCUAUGCAAACCUACAAACAAUGCCAUAAAAUAUGUAAAAUGUUAAAAUAUUGUUUAAAUCCCUUUUUAUAAGUAUUAUAUUUGUUUAACAUUAACAUUUUAUUAACUAAAAUGUUUUAUUAACACUAUUAUAAUCCUACUGAUAAACCAGCUGUUGACAAGAAGAA